rnacentral:rRNA from 1 species
UGAGGAAUAUUGGUCAAUGGACGCAAGUCUGAACCAGCCAUGCCGCGUGAAGGACGAAGGCCUUCUGGGUUGUAAACUUCUUUUAUUGGGGAAGAAAAUUACGGUUUCUACUGUAACCGACGGUACCCAAGGAAUCAGCACCGGCUAACUCCGUGCCAGCAGCCGCGGUAAUACGGAGGGUGCAAGCGUUAUCCGGAUUCACUGGGUUUAAAGGGUGUGUAGGCGGGUAUUUAAGUCAGUGGUGAAAUCUCCAGGCUCAACCUGGAAACUGCCAUUGAUACUAUUUAUCUUGAAUCUUGUUGAGGUGGGCGGAAUAUAUCAUGUAGCGGUGAAAUGCUUAGAUAUGAUAUAGAACACCGAUUGCGAAGGCAGCUCACUAAACAAGCAUUGACGCUGAGGCACGAAAGCGUGGGGAUCAAACA